rnacentral:sRNA from 1 species
AAUAUCCAAAGCUUGUCUCAUAAAAAGCUCGUUUCGUUUCGCUCGUUCGAUCGGUUCGCUUCGACUCGUUUCUUCGUGUUUUGAGUUUCGCAGCACGCGCGCAAUUCCUAAAUACAUUUAAAAAAAAGACUACACCAGAGUAGUAAACACGCCUUUUGGAUUAAUUCACCAUAUACUAAUAACAACGUUGGGCAAUUAAGGAAGUAAUUUGUGGCCGAAGUUGUUGUUGUUGCUGCUGUUGUCGUUGCAAGAUCAUCAGCCACCAGCGUCAUGAAUGCAACCACAUGAAACGUCGGCUGUUGAAGCGUCAACAGCAAUUGCCAUAAUUGCCAUUGGAGCAGCAAAACAUACACUAAACACACACUCCUCACACACACACACCAACACACAUACACACACCCCAGAGCUGCAGGCAAGGAGUCCAAUAACCGCACCACCACCAGCAACUGGAAACUCGCCACACGAGCUUUUCGCGGCAGGCACAAAACCGAUAUCCAAACGGCUCCUUCAACUGAAUUGUAACAGCAUCGAGUACCGAGCGUGGAGCGUGCAGCAAACGGGCGCCGGAAAAUCCCCAAAGCCAAA